CUCGGCUCUCGCAUCGAUGAAGAACGUAGCGAAAUGCGAUACUUGGUGUGAAUUGCAGGAUCCCGCGAACCACCGAGUCUUUGAACGCAAGUUGCGCCCGGAGCCUUCUGG
rnacentral:rRNA from 1 species